rnacentral:lncRNA from 1 species
ACUGUAUUUCUGUUGCACUAUAGUUAAUGAAUUCAUGAGGCUGCACAGGAGGAGAACGAUGCCCCUGCACAAGACCCUGAUUUCACGUCCAAAUCCAUGAUACACAGACACA